UUGUACGCCUGCAGCGGCGUGCUGAUGGAGGUGAUGACGGCGCCUCUCCCGCUUCCUCCUUCUCCGUUGCCGUGGCAACCCACAGAGAGCGUCGGCUCCACUGUAGCAGAAUGGAGAGGAAGAUGGAGGAGAGCACUGUUAGGGACGUCGAGACUGGCAGUGAAACUGGAGGAGAGGAUGCCUUGGUGGGGAAUGUGAACAAGCUGAUGGUGAGCCCACCAGGUUACUCAGGAGCUCUACGGAAAGGACAUCUGGUGUUUGAUGCCUGUUUUGAAAGUGGGAACCUUGGCCGUGUUGACUACAUCAGUGAGUUUGAGUUUGACCUCUUCAUCCGCCCUGACACCUGCAACCCGCGAUUCAGAGUCUGGUUCAACUUCACAGUGGAGAACGUCCGUGAGACACAGAGAGUCAUUUUCAAUGUGGUCAACUUCUCCAAGACCAAGAGCCUGUACAGGGAUGGCAUGUCUCCCGUAGUCAAGUCUACCAGCAGGCCAAAAUGGCAGAGGCUUCCAGCCAAAAACGUGUACUACUACCGUUGCCCUGACCACCGGCGCAACUAUGUCAUGUCUUUUGCCUUCUGCUUUGACCGCGAGGAUGACGUUUAUCAAUUUGCCUACUGCUACCCUUACACCUACUCCAGACUCCAGCACUACCUGGCCAGCCUGGAGCGCAGGAACCUGCCCUACCUGCAGAGGGAGCAGCUGGGACUCAGUGUGCAACAACGGCAGCUAGACCUGUUAACAAUCACCAACUGUGACCAACACCAGAGUCCGGAGAGGGAGAAGAAGCUGGUGUUUCUCACAGCUCGUGUUCACCCCGGAGAGUCUCCUGCCUCCUUUAUCUGUCAAGGUGUGAUCGACUUCCUGGUGAGCCAGCAUCCAGUGGCUCAGAUCCUAAGAGACCAUGUGAUCUUCAAGAUCGUCCCCAUGCUAAAUCCUGACGGAGUCUACUUGGGAAACUACAGGUGUUCUCUGAUGGGCUUUGACCUGAAUCGGCACUGGCAGGAUCCCUCUCCAUGGGCCCAUCCCACGCUGCACGCUGUCAAACAACUCAUAGUGCAGAUGAGCCAAGACCCGAGAGUCAGUUUGGAGUUCUACAUUGAUGUCCAUGCCCACUCCACCAUGCUGAAUGGCUUCAUGUACGGCAAUGUGUUCGAGGACGAGGAGCGCGUCCAGAGACAGGCUGUCUUCCCCAGGCUGCUGUGCCAAAAUGCACCAGACUUCUCCUUUUCCAACACGUCCUUCAAUCGGGACGUGGUGAAGGCCGGUACCGGUAGACGGUUCCUCGGUGGUCUCCUUGAUGACACGUCCUACUGCUACACUCUGGAGGUGUCCUUCUACAGCUACAUGACAGCUGGCAGCACCGCACCUGUGCCCUACACUGAGGAGACAUUGGGACUCCAUGAAUGCCAGAGCUGCCAAUGGAGCCCAGUAUGCAUCAGUGAUCCUGACACCCAAUGGACAGCCUGUGAGAAGCUACAGCCCACUGACUGUUUCCUGGCUCUCCCUCACAUCACUUCCUGCUGCAGCAGCAGCCACGUUCCAGACCCUACGGUUUCCCCCGGCAACAGGCCAGGCAGCAGUCAGGGCAUCCUCUGUGUCUCCGACCAUUCGCCCCAUGGAUGAAGUUCUCCUUCAGAAGCUGACCGUCCAUCACCAGACCUCCUGUAAUAGACGGACUCACAGACAAACAGCCAGAUGGGGUGUAAACACAGACUCCGGAGUCGUGUGGAGAGCGUUGCCAUCAGCCUGCCGAGUGAAGAAUGAAGUCCUGUGCAGACUCCUGAACAUACGCAAUAACACACCCUCAAAGGCCAAGGUGACAGACUCACUACAGAGGAGCUUGCUUGCAUAUUUAAAGGUCUAACUUACCAGGUAUGCCCAUGUGUGCAUGUGUGUGUGUGUGUGUGUGUGUGUGUGUGUGUUGCUUGAAGUAUGACAAACUGCAAAGCCUGAAGUGUACGCCCAGACAGCCAGCUCAAACCGAGGAUGGAUGGAUACAAGUUAACAGCUUUUGGACGAUAGCUUUUCACAUUUGUAGCAAGCAGGAUUUAUGUAGCGUGGGUCAUUUUGUGAUCAUUGCGAGAAAUUGGAAAAUGAAAACAAAAAUGACAGAAUCGCCAUCUUUUUUCAAAUAUAUAUUUUCUUCUGUAUGCCAGUUGUUUCAAUCACACAGUGGUGACAAUAGAUCGUCCGGCGGAUGACAGGCCCUAUCCGAGUAUCAACAAGACAUGAAGCUGGGCAGGAAUGUGGCUCGAACCUUCCUGGAUUACUACAAACUCAACAACCUCAUCAAAGACAAUAUACCAACUCACCUUCAAU